AUGCUGGAGACGCCGGCGCUCGCUGGCAGUGCGCGCUCCGCGCGGGCUGCAGCUGGAGGACGAGCGCGCCACCCGCACACCCACCUCCCCGCACUCCCGCCCCGAGCGAGGGCGCCCCGCUUUGGGCGCCGACUUCGGGGUCCGUGUUCGGCCUCCCCCGCCUCCGAGGAAACGCGCCAAGGAGCUGAGGAAAUCCGGCGCCGACUCUCCCAGCUGGCACCAGAGCCUUCCGCUUCGCCGAGAUCCUCUCCAGUGCUCCUGAGGACGCGAGCGGCUUCCCUAAGAGCGAACUUCCGCGGGCAGGGACGCCGGGAGAAGAGGACUCUGAAUCUUGGGAGCUGUCAGAGCAGGAGGAAUGUUUGGAAGUCAGAUGCAUCCCAGUUGUACGGGCACUCUGAGCGCCAGAACAGUCCCAAGAGUGACCUAGGCGUGCCUUCUUCUGCCUGCUGCCACAACAUCCUCAACUCCCAGCCCAGACUGGGCACUCCUGCUUUCUUUCCACUCUGUAGCCUUCCACUGGCUUUCCAGGAAAUCUUAUUGCUGCGAGGCAGAAUGGUUAGCGCCAGUUUGCAAGGGAGAAUGCUGAAAUCUUAUUGCUGCGAGGCAGAGUGGUUAGCGCCAGUUUGCAAAGGAGAAUGCUGACUAAUUAAGAAAGCAUCGCUUAAGUAUUUUGCACAUGUUAAGUACUCUUAAUUAACGAGUUGUUUGGUAUGAAAGGCAUAUGAUUUGGCACAUUGCCAUCCAGAUAUCCAAGCUAUCAAAGGAUGAAAAUUGAAGCAAGGAGAGGUUAAGUGACCUGCUGAAGACCACACAGCUGGCAUUGGCAAGUGGCAGGAGAGGGAUGUAAACCCAGGAAGUUUGACUCCAGAGCCUGCACUCCCAACCCUCAUGAUUGUACUGCCUCACAGGGAAAAGUAUUCUUACUUUUUUUUUUUUUUGAGGCAGAGUCUCACUCUGUCUCCCAGGCUGGAGGGCAGUGGUGCGAUCGCAGCUCACUGCAGCCUCGACUUCUUGGGUUCAGGCAAUUCUCCCACCUCAGGGAUUACAGGUGCAUAUCACCAUACCUGGCUAGUUUUUGUAUUUUUAAUAUAGAUGAGGUUUCACCUUGUUGGCCAGGCUGGUCUCGAACUCCUGAUCUCAGGUGAUCCACCCACCUCAGCCUCCCAAAGUGCAGGGAUUACAGGUGUGAGCCACUGCACCCUGCUGGGGAAAAUAUACUUUUAUGUGCAUGACCAUCAAAUUAAUCACCACAUUUUUUUCUUUUGAGCGUCAGACUAAAAAGAAACACAUUUCAAGAGACAUAUGCCUUCUGUAUCUCAGCGCCCACUUUUGAAAUCUUGAAGGUCAGAGCUUCAAAUGAGCCUGUGUUUGUCUGCAGAAUGCUGGGGGAAAAGGCUAAGGGAUGAAGGUUUUAUGUUGCGGAGCUCAAACCCAUGUCAGCCUUUCUAACCAUAACUAUUUAGAUUAUCCAUUUAUCUGAGCAGCUUAAAUGGAUUUAUAAAUAUUAAUUAAUAAAUUAUUAUAUUCACUCUCUGUAUAAUUUGUA
rnacentral:lncRNA from 13 species